rnacentral:lncRNA from 1 species
UCCCGAUCUGAUGGUGGACACAUUUGCAGUGCCAGCCUUUCAUGCCUAUGCUCAUGAUGCUGACAGUCAGGUCACUGAUGGUACCAGGUAUGUGACUGUGGGCUUGCUGACGGAGAACAAAUGGAGAGGUUGUGGUCCUACCUUCGAAAAGUUGGGAAGAUCACAAAAGAGAUGACACCUUCUCAUCGUGUUGACACCCUCACCGAUGCCCUCCUAUUACGCAGCCAGGGUCAGGGAGAAGCAAGGUUAACCCCGUCGCAGCAGACAGACCUGCUGUCCCCCUUACCAUACUCUGGAGUGCAACAUGAGAGACGGAGGACAAGCUGAACAAGCUGGGCCAGAAGAUCUCAGCCAGAGAGAAUUCCUAGCUGCAGAAUAAGAUGAUCCUUAAGGAGCAGUUCACCGAAGAGUACGUGAAGGCCAAAUGCCUGAAGGACGACCCGGGGCAGCACCUGCAGACCAGCGUUGUACCUUGGCCACCCAGCAGUCCAGACUUGAAUAAGGGAGUCUACCCCGAUAUCUCACGGGCUGAGGCUGUCUGAAGCACAGGACGACAUCAUGGCAGGUAUGUGAGCAGUUACGGUAGAACUAAGUCUGAACUGGAUGCUAGAUGUAACUCUGAGCCCGAUGCUUUAGACACCUUUCUGUGUUUUCAAACAUUGUCGCACGAGGGCGAUGCGCACAAGUUGGUGGCAGAACACAGUCGAGUAAUAGAACGCCAGCAAAAAAAGCCUCUUUACAUGUUACUUGUGAAUGCAUUUCACACUACUUUUAAGGCUUGUGUAAAUGUCCUGCUUAAUGUAAUGUUUGUCUCAUCACAAAUCAACUGCCUUAUAGUUUAAAAACAGUUCAACUUAAAUGUCUUAGGCUGUAGCAAAAGCUAGCCAAUGUCAAUGAGCAUUAGUAUUCUAGCUAACAAAUGCUGCAUCCAAAAUAGUUAUUUUUUGAAGAUCACAACCAAAUACAAUCUUAGCGACUGUUCAAGCAAGAAUCAAAACAUUGUAAAGGUAUGAGAACCCCCCAAAAUUAUUUUGUUUAGAAGUAAUACAAAGUUAAAUCUAGGCUGUUGAAUGGGCGCAGAUGGCAAUGGCUUUCUUACUGCAGCCAAGAGUCACGCGCAUUUGUGCGUUAUGUCAGUAUGUCCGGUACUGGAAAGGGACAGAAUACAUUCAGAUCAGAGUUAGUCCCAUACGGAACCAUUCCAUGUACACACAGCACCGCACUUACAUGGUUGUUGGCUGAGCUCCUUUCGUUUUAUCUGCUGUUCUUCGUGCAAUAAUUAUGAAUGCUACCAUAUGUAGCUUGUUAGCUGGUGUGCCAAAGGCUAUAGAGGUCAGUUACCUCAGGUUUUGUUUGUUGGGAAGCCAAAGUUGAUUUCAAAGACAUCAAAAAAAAGUACUAUUUUGCUGUGACAUUGUGUAUCUUAAUGACCCGGUGUCGAACCAGGGAUGCUGCAGCCACAACGCAGAGGACUAACUACUUACUAUACGCUCACAGCGAGCUACCAGGGCU